CAGCAGCCACGGUAAUACGUAGGUCCCGAGCGUUGUCCGGAUUUAUUGGGCGUAAAGCGAGCGCAGGCGGUUAGAAAAGUCUGAAGUGAAAGGCAGUGGCUCAACCAUUGUAGGCUUUGGAAACUGUUUAACUUGAGUGCAGAAGGGGAGAGUGGAAUUCCAUGUGUAGCGGUGAAAUGCGUAGAUAUAUGGAGGAACACCGGUGGCGAAAGCGGCUCUCUGGUCUGUAACUGACGCUGAGGCUCGAAAGCGUGGGGAGCGAACAGGAUUAGAUACCCCCGUAGUCCCUGUCUCUUAUACA
rnacentral:rRNA from 1 species